rnacentral:tRNA from 1 species
UUCCAGGUGGCUCAGUGGUAAAGAAUCUGCUUGCCAAGCAGGAGAUGCAGGUUCGAUCCCUGUGUUGGGAA